rnacentral:lncRNA from 1 species
AAUUGUACUGCUAUUAAUACAUCAUAAAUAUUUAUUAUAUUUCUCAGAUUACUACUUCUGUCUUAAUAAAGAUUUCAUAUUAUUGGAUCCCUGAUAACUGGAUUCCUGCAUUAUUAACUCUAACAGGAGCUCUUUUUGUGCUGUGCCUCUAUGCUGUUGCCUGGUGCCUCUUCAAAGAUUCUCCUGUUUGUUCAAGAUUAUUUCCCAACUGUCACAAACAUGACCAGAGCCAACCAAGUCUCACGACCAAAGGGCCUGGAGUAGUACCAAGUGACAGGAAUACAAUAACUAUUUGACAAUAAGACAGGAGAAGUCAAGAUGUUGAACAAUUAAGAGAAGAAUAUGAUGCCAAUGGAAGACAUUUGACUUUAACCAGCAUAAAGGUCACCAUAUCUUCAUGUCACUUGCUUUAUUUGAAAAGGUCUUUUAAA